UACGGGGUGGGCAAGCGUUGUUCGGAAUUACUGGGCGUAAAGGGCUCGUAGGCGGCCAACUAAGUCAGACGUGAAAUCCCUCGGCUUAACCGGGGAACUGCGUCUGAUACUGGAUGGCUUGAGUGUGGGAGAGGGAUGCGGAAUUCCAGGUGUAGCGGUGAAAUGCGUAGAUAUCUGGAGGAACACCGGUGGCGAAGGCGGCAUCCUGGACCAUUACUGACGCUGAGUGAGCGAAAGCCAGGGGAGCAAACGGG
rnacentral:rRNA from 1 species